rnacentral:ncRNA from 1 species
CUAAGAUCAGGCCGAAAGGCGUAGUCGAUGGACAACAGGUCAAUAUUCCUGUACUACCCCUUGUUGGUACGGAGGGACGGAGGAGGCUAGGUUAGCCGAAAGAUGGUUAUAGGUUUAAGGACACAAGGUGACCCUGCUUUUUCAGGGUAAGAAAGGGUAGAGAAAAUGCCUCGAGCCGAGGUCCGAGUACCAAGCGCUGCAGCGCUGAAGUAUG